CUGACAGAAGAGAGUGAGCACACCCAAGCAAUUGUAUAAGGGUAUGCCGUUGUUGGUGCGUGCUCACUUCUCUUUCUGUCAG
rnacentral:pre_miRNA from 1 species